AUUGAACGCUGGCGGAAUGCUUUACACAUGCAAGUCGAGCGGCAGCGCGGCCUUCGGGCUGGCGGCGAGCGGCGAACGGGUGAGUAAUGCAUCGGAACAUGCCCAGUCGUGGGGGAUAACACUUCGAAAGAAGUGCUAAUACCGCAUACGUCCUGAGGGGGAAAGCGGGGGAUCGCAAGACCUCGCGCGAUUGGAGUGGCCGAUGUCAGAUUAGCUAGUUGGUGGGGUAAAGGCCUACCAAGGCGACGAUCUGUAGCUGGUCUGAGAGGAUGAUCAGCCACACUGGGACUGAGACACGGCCCAGACUCCUACGGGAGGCAGCAGUGGGGAAUUUUGGACAAUGGGGGCAACCCUGAUCCAGCCAUUCCGCGUGAGUGAAGAAGGCCUUCGGGUUGUAAAGCUCUUUCGGCAGGAACGAAGCGGUGGGCUCUAACAUAGUCCGCUAAUGACGGUACCUGAAGAAGAAGCACCGGCUAACUACGUG
rnacentral:rRNA from 1 species